rnacentral:lncRNA from 1 species
UGCUGAGAUUGGAGCCUGGGCAGUCUGGCCCGAGUCUUCGCACUUAACUCCCACAUCAAACAUUCCUCUUGGGAGUGGGGCCAGUGGUUAACCCUGACCUUUCUUCCUCUUCUGUCUUCAUUUAAGCCCUGGGUGAGACAGUCCUUCUUUCUACUGCUUGAUUCCAUACUGACCACCUGCCAUCCUUCCUUAACCUGGGUUUUUGUGUCCUGAAGCUACAUUCUGACAGAGAAAUGUUUCUGAAAAGACCAGACAACAUCCUAGAGUUUGCGGCAGACUAUUUCACGGAUCCAAGACUUCCCAACAAGAUUCACAUGCAGCUAAUUGAAGACAAGAAAGCGGCUUAA